rnacentral:rRNA from 1 species
GAAACCAACCGGGAUUGCCUUAGUAACGGCGAGUGAAGCGGCAAAAGCUCAAAUUUGAAAUCUGGUACCUUCGGUGCCCGAGUUGUAAUUUGGAGAGGGCAACUUUGGGGCCGUUCCUUGUCUAUGUUCCUUGGAACAGGACGUCAUAGAGGGUGAGAAUCCCGUGUGGCGAGGAGUGCGGUUCUUUGUAAAGUGCCCUCGAAGAGUCGAGUUGUUUGGGAAUGCAGCUCUAAGUGGGUGGUAAAUUCCAUCUAAAGCUAAAUAUUGGCGAGAGACCGAUAGCGAACAAGUACAGUGAUGGAAAGAUGAAAAGAACUUUGAAAAGAGAGUGAAAAAGUACGUGAAAUUGUUGAAAGGGAAGGGCAUUUGAUCAGACAUGGUGUUUUGUGCCCUCUGCUCCUUGUGGGUAGGGGAAUCUCGCAUUUCACUGGGCCAGCAUCAGUUUUGGUGGCAGGAUAAAUCCAUAGGAAUGUAGCUUGCCUCGGUAAGUAUUAUAGCCUGUUGGGAAUACUGCCAGCUGGGACUGAGGACUGCGACGUAAGUCAAGGAUGCUGGCAUAAUGGUUAUAUG